UACAGAGGUCUCAAGCGUUGUUCGGAUUCAUUGGGCGUAAAGGGUGCGUAGGCGGCGCGGUAAGUCGGGUGUGAAAUCUCGGAGCUUAACUCCGAAACUGCAUUCGAUACUGCCGUGCUUGAGGACUGGAGAGGAGACUGGAAUUUACGGUGUAGCGGUGAAAUGCGUAGAUAUCGUAAGGAAGACCAGUGGCGAAGGCGGGUCUCUGGACAGUUCCUGACGCUAAGACGCGAAAGCGUGGGGAGCAAACAGG
rnacentral:rRNA from 1 species